rnacentral:sRNA from 1 species
AUGUACCCUCGUACACUCCGGUUCCUCCGCGCCGUCCGCACCCACCUGACGAUUGCUCGUUACGUUUUGUUAGCC